rnacentral:rRNA from 1 species
CUUUCGUUUGCAGUGAAGCUUUGCCUGCUAUCUCUUACCCAUGUCUUUUGAGUACCUUACGUUUCCUCGGUGGGUUCGCCCACCGAUUGGACAAAUUUAAACCCUUUGCAGUUGAAAUCAGCGUCUGAAAAAACUUAAUAGUUACAACUUUCAACAACGGAUCUCUUGGUUCUGGCAUCGAUGAAGAACGCAGCGAAAUGCGAUAAGUAGUGUGAAUUGCAGAAUUCAGUGAAUCAUCGAAUCUUUGAACGCACAUUGCGCCCCUUGGUAUUCCAUGGGGCAUGCCUGUUCGAGCGUCAUUUGUACCUUCAAGCUCUGCUUGGUGUUGGGUGUUUGUCUCCUGUAGACUCGCCUUAAAACAAUUGGCAGCCGGCGUAUUGAUUUCGGAGCGCAGUACAUCUCGCGCUUUGCACUCAUAACGACGACAUCCAAAAGUACAUUUUUACACUCUUGACCUCGGAUCAGGUAGGGAUACCCGCUGAACUUAAGCAUAUCAAAAGCCCGGAGGAA